GAGUUUUCAUAUAUAGAUCCAGUUUCUACCGUUCUUCUGACAUAAAAAGACCUUUGGUUUAAUAAGUUAUUAAGAAGAAAAUACGUCAAUUUCUACUUCCUAAUUGUGUUGUACAUCGGUAUAUAAGAAUGAAGGUAACUGCAGAAAGCCUAUUGGCCCAUAUGUACAUGUAUUAGCGUCCUCAUCCUUCCUAUAAGUACUAUUAAAACAGGUGAAUGGGCUGCAAUAUCUUAUUAAUGCCAUUACCUGUCAACUUGAUAUUACACAAUACUAUGGUGUAACGAGUUUAAAUUGAAAUGGGGCAGUGUAGUUCUCUAGCGACUUCUUGGAUCAAAUCUUGUGCAUAUCUUCCCAAAAACAUAGCCUAAGGGCCAGUUUUCUGCAUUAAUCUUUCAAAAUGGUAUUCAUAGAAUUGCUUCAGAAGUGGUACUAUGGUAGGUAUGAUUUUGUAGUGAAGUUUUCACAAGUAGUCAUAUCAUAAUCUUCCUUAUUUACUUAUACCUGUAUACAACUCCUUUUGUUCUAGAGAUUGCAUUUUUCACAUGUAUUUUCAUCUUCAUGUGAUAAUAAUAAUAAUACAGUAAGCCCUUGCUUUACAUAAGCAAAUUUCAUGAAAACAAGUUUAAGAUUGUAAACUGUUAUAAUAGCUGCAAGCCUCUCCAUACAAAACUUCCAGGCAGCAUUUGCCCCAAACUCUCCAUAUUAACUAACAAAUUCAAUCCUUGAAAUCAACACAACUGCCAGGAAAGUCAGCACCAUAUUUGAAUGCAUCGACUAGCACAUCCAUUGAUGAUGAUGUACAAAUAUUUGAUGAAGUCAGACGAAUCGAGCCAUUGUUGAGGGAAAUGCAGCUGCACUCUGCAUAUCAGAAAAUGACUUGAUUGAAUAUCAUUUAUUAAACAUGGUUACUCGCCAAAGAGAACACUGGUAAAGUUAAACCCAACUGUUUGACACCUCCAUCCUGGAAACGGCCAUUGUUUCCAAAACGGUAAUGAAAGCAGCAUUAGAUCUUGGAACAAGUAAAUUGGGAUUGAGCCUUCAAGAGAACUCACAGAACAGACUCUAAAACAGGUUCAAAUGUUUCGUAAGCAUCUAGAUAAUCCAGUGGUUCGUGACCUUCUUGUUGUUGGUGGUAUACCCGUGAAGGAGCAAAUAGCAGCACUCAAUGCAGGUGUGGAUAUUGUUUGUGGUACUCCAGGACGCUUGGAAGAUCUUAUUAAUACAGGACAACUCUCUCCAGUCUUGCAAAUUCUUUGUGUUGGAUGAGGCUGAUGGACUUCUUAAACAGGGGCAUGAGCGUCUCAUCAAUAACAUCUACAACUCCAUACCCAAAAUCACAUCUGAAGGCAAGAGACUCCAGAUGGUGGUCUGUUCUGCCACCCUACAUUCCUUUGAAGUGAAGCUCAUGGCAGAACGUUUGAUGCACUUCCCGACUUGGGUAGAUCUUAAAGGGGAAGAUGCUGUGCCCGAGACUGUCCACCAUGUUGUCGUAACCAUUGAUUGCAGAUGGCGUGCAUGUUAAGGAUGGCGUACGACCUGGGAACAAUACACCUGAGACAUUAAGUGAGGCGGUGAAGCUGCUGAAAGGAGAGUACUGCAUUAAGGCUAUUGACACACACAAAAUGGAUCAAGCACUAAUAUUCUGCCGCACUAAGUUGGAUUGUGACAAUUUAGAGCGCUAUUUUAAUCAAAUUGAUUCAAAGGUGGUCUGGACACCCAAUUUGGUCAGACAGGUGAAGAGAGCAUUUAGGAUAG